AUAUGACUGACCGGUUGACCGACGACCAAUUUCGCCGAUGCUUUCUGACUCUGUCGAUAAUGCAACCAUACGAUCAUGCAAUGUUAAGACAACAAGACGCGUAUUCACACGUGCGUACGGACCGCGUCUCUGCGGCAAACUGACUGACUGACUGACUGACUCAAUGAGAAAAGGUCUACAGCAGCCCGUGUUCUUGCCGAGACCGCGAGCAAGAUCUCUAUCUCUUAAGGAGUCUCGAUAUAUUUGGGGAUAAGGAAAAUGAAUAUCUGCUAUAUAUCUGGUAAAUCAAAGACAGUCCAUCGACAUAUUUUACAGUCUACCAACCUAUACCAAUCUUCUUGGGACUUGAAUAUCGUCUACACGGAUAUAUGGAAAUCAGAAUUCGGAUUAGCAAAUAAGGUGAAAAGAAAUGGGUGGAAGGAACCAGUUUUUAAACGUCUUUGGCCGGGUUCCUCUUCUUCGUUUCUUCUUCCAUUCUCUUUCGUACUUGUCUUGUCUUCUAUUCCCCUCUUCGUCUUUUCUCAGUCUGUCUUUGCAAUCGGUAAAGAGAAUUUACUGCAGUUUGGACUUUGUUCCCAGGCUUGACACUAAGCCUACUAUUAACUUAUCAGUAUCUUUCAAUUUGUUUUAAAUCUUUUGAAUAAUCCGCGAAAUGAUAGAAAUUUGUUGAAUUUGAAUGAUACAAUAAAUUCUUGAAAUAUAAUUAUUGAUCAUGAAUGAUAUUAUAUCAACUGCAGGAAAAUCUUGUCUACAUCUUAUAAUCAUGUAAAAUUUAAAAAUUAUUAAAAAUUAGAUAUAAAUUUUAAGAUAUUUUUAUUCUUUUUACUCAUUAUAAUUUUUAAUACAUAAAAUUUUUAAUAUACAGUCUGAAAGAACAACGAAUUUUAAGAUAUUUCAUCGUUUUCUUGGUGGAACCCUUCUUAGUACAGUAUCCUUCCAUCGAAUGUUCGACCACAUUUCCAUGGUCGUUUUGCAAUCCGUUACAAAGGCCGGCUUGUUAGAUGCCGUGGUAUAUACGACAUGCACGAUUUUACACUCUGGCGCUUGUGGUCGGUCAAGCCGCAAACAUUUUUCGCGCCUCACAGAGAGAAGCAACUCUUCGCGACACGAUUGAUCAUCUUCUGAAGAACACACCAAAUCAUAUAGAAAAACUUUUUACAAACAGGUGCAGCAAUCGAGAUCUAUGUAUAACCAAAAUCAACGCAAAAAUAGAAAAGAAGCGCAUAAUAAUGGAAUUCUUAUCGACUACACUAUUUCCGAGACUUCGAAUGAAAGCUUAGAUGAAUGAUACAUGAUACACAUUGUCAUAGACCGAACUGUCUUCGAUGAAAUCACCUUGUCUUUCUAAGAAAGAAAUUACUUAAUUUAAGAUUGCAAUUAUAACAUAAUAUUGAAUUUACUAUUUUGAUCUCAUAUAUAUAUUCUACAUAUUAUAUUCAGUAAUUUUUAAUUCUGUGCAAUAUUUUCAUUUUUAAAAAUCAAAUCGUGAUCAUUUUCCAAGGGAGGAUGGGGGUUGUUCUGGAUCUAUCGAGCAACAGGUUUAGCAGAACGCUUAAUGAAUAGUUGAUAAUAGUAUGCAUUGUAGGCUGCAUGUUCGAGGGUUGGGUCAUCUAACAAAUGGCCCAUUGUUAUCUCUUACAACUCUUUGGUUUUCCUCUUACUCCUUCUCUUCUUCGCUUUUUUCCCUUCAUCCUUCUUUCACCGUGCACGAAACGGGCGUGCAUAUAGGGUAAUUCAGAAAAGAGAAACGAUCUUCUCGCGCGCAGAAUUAUUACUUUAGUCGAUUGAAAAAUACACAGUUUGGUAACUAUUCAAAUUCUUAUUACUUUUAUCGGUCCUAAAAAGAAAAAAUAAACGCCUUCUUGGUUUUUUCUUUAUUUUUACUCGAACAAUGAAAAAAUAUAUUAUUAAUUAAAAUUAUUUAUAAAUUAAAGUUAAAAAGAUAAUUUUUAUGAAGGAAAGACGAAGAAGAAAUAAUCGAUUUCUAUUAGCUAUUAGCAUUUUCGAGCAAUCAAUUUUUAAAUACUGGAAUAUGCGUCUAAUAAUCGGAUAAAAUUAGAGGAUAUUCGAUAAAUGAUAAAGAGAAUCGCGCAUUCUAUAUAUUAUUGGCGUGCUGAGAAGAAAAGGCCGUUUCAUUCGAUACACAACGUACAAUUGAUCUGAACGUAUACAUAUUAUACACGGCUCACGAAUGGAGGAGUGAGUCUCGAGGGGAGCAACCGGUGCCGGUUUAUUCCCGAUCGAAUGUUUUUGUCCAACCAUCGCAAACCUAAUUGGAUUCGCUACAAACCACUAACAGUCGUAUACGGACACAACGAACACGACCUCGGUUUCUACAUGGAUACAUAACUCUUCACAGGCAGUCAGGCGCUAAUGUCGAUGUAUGUAGCUGGUAGCAACCAGAUUGUGCUACAUUUCUGCAUCAUUGUCCGCCUUCCCCUUUUAUCAUUUUUCAUCGCUCUUCUCACUAAGCAAACGAUAGAGAGAUGUAUCUACGAAAUGGGGCAAUCCCAAAACAUGAGAUUAGCAACCAGGAAAGCAACCUAUCGAUACAGGAUGGAUUCUAAACGAAAAAGAAUGAAAAAGAUAGAAAAGGGAUAAAUAUACGUUGGAAAGAGAUGGAAAAAGAAAAUGUUGGCGAAAAAAGAAAUAAAAAGAAUAAAAAAAAAAAGAGAGAACUCUCAAGAGAUCAAGUUAGAGUACCGGUACAAAAAACCUGUCCCGCAUAAUUACAUUAUCGGUCACAUCUCGUUCGACUUCUGUCCGCAUAGCCCUUCGUUGGACAACCGAAUGCAUUCUCAUACAAUAGAGGCCACAGUUGCCUGGAGGACGAUGCAAUAAGGUCUACAGGGGGUCUCAAUCAUGGUUUCUUUAUCCGAUUUUUUCCGAUUCUUAGUUAUCAAAUAUUCUAA
rnacentral:lncRNA from 1 species